AUUGAACGCUGGCGGCAUGCCUAACACAUGCAAGUCGAACGGCAGCACAGUGUGUAGCAAUACACAUGGGUGGCGAGUGGCGGACGGGUGAGUAAUGCGUAGGAAUCUACCUUCAAGUGGGGGAUAGCCCGGAGAAAUCCGGAUUAAUACCGCAUGUUCUCUACGGAGAAAAGCGGGCCUCUGUUUCAAGCUCGCGCUUGAAGAUGAGCCUACGUCGGAUUAGCUAGUUGGUAGGGUAAAAGCCUACCAAGGCGACGAUCCGUAGCUGGUUUGAGAGGAUGAUCAGCCACACUGGGACUGAGACACGGCCCAGACUCCUACGGGAGGCAGCAGUGGGGAAUAUUGGACAAUGGGCGAAAGCCUGAUCCAGCAAUGCCGCGUGUGUGAAGAAGGCCUGCGGGUUGUAAAGCACUUUUAUCGGGAAAGAAAAGCUUGGGGCUAACACCUCCAAGCCUUGACGGUACCCGUUGAAUAAGCACCGGCUAACUCCGUGCCAGCAGCCGCCGCAGUAA
rnacentral:rRNA from 1 species